GCCUGGGUGGCUCAGUCGGUUGAGCGUCCGACUUCGGCUCAGAUCAUGAUCUCAUGGUCUGUGGGUUCGAGCCCCACGUCAGGCU
rnacentral:tRNA from 1 species